rnacentral:rRNA from 1 species
AUUGAACGCUGGCGGCAGGCCUAACACAUGCAAGUCUAACGAGUGGCGGACUGGUGAGUAAUGUCUGGGAAACUGCCUGAUGGAGGGGGAUAACUACUGGAAACGGUAGCUAAUACCGCAUACCAUCAGAUGUGCCCAGAUGGGAUUAGCUAGUUGGUGGGGUAAUGGCUCACCAAGGCGACUAGCCCUAGCUGGUCUGAGAGGAUGACCAGCCACACUGGAACUGAGACACGGUCCAGACUCCUACGGGAGGCAGCAGUGGGGAAUAUUGCACAAUGGGCGCAAGCCGGAUGCAGCCAUGCCGCGUGUGUGAAGAAGGCCUUCGGGUUGUAAAGCACUUUCAGCGGGGAGGCGUUACUCGCAGAAGAAGCACCGGCUAACUCCGUGCCAGCAGCCGCGGUAAUAC